rnacentral:rRNA from 1 species
AAUGAACGCUGGCGGUAUGCCUAACACAUGCAAGUCGAACGGCAGCCCUCGGGUGGUUGUCGCGUACGGGUGGGUAGCGCGUGGGGGUUUGGCCUUAGAUUGGGAUUAACUGUUGGAUAGGGCUGCUCGUAGCGGAAGAUAUGGUAAGAUCACAUAUUUAUUGCCUGUGGAUGCGCCGGAGCUGGGUUCCGUGGUUGGUGGGAUUAGCGGAUGUCGGACUAGCUAGUUGGCGGGGUAAAGGCCCACCGAGGCGACGAUCCGUAGCUGGUCUGAGGGGAUGAUCAGCCACACUGGAACUGAGACACGGUCCAGACUCCUACGGGAGGCAGCAGUGGGGAAUAUUGGACAAUGGGCGAAAGCCUGAUCCAGCCAUACCGCGUGGGUGAAGAAGGCCUUCGGGUUGGAAAGCCAUUUUGUUGGGAAAGAAAAGCAGCAGGUUAAUACCGCGCUGUUCUGACGGUACCCAAAGAAUAAGCACCGGCUAACUUCGUG